rnacentral:rRNA from 1 species
GAUGAACGCUGGCGGCGUGCCUAAUACAUGCAAGUCGAGCGAAUGGAUUAAGAGCUUGCUCUUAUGAAGUUAGCGGCGGACGGGUGAGUAACACGUGGGUAACCUGCCCAUAAGACUGGGAUAACUCCGGGAAACCGGGGCCAAUACCGGAUAACAUUUUGAACCGCAUGGUUAGAAAUUGAAAGGCGGCUUCGGCUGUCACUUAUGGACGGACCCGCGGCGCAUUAGCAAGUUGGUGAGGUAACGGCUCACCAAGGCAACGAGGCGUAGCCGCCCUGAGAGGGUGAUCGGCCACGCUGGGACUGGGGCACGGCCCAGACUCCUACGGGAGGCAGCAGUAGGGAAUCUUCCGCAAUGGACGAAAGUCUGACGGAGCAACGCCGCGUGAGUGAUGAAGGCUUUCGGGUCGUAAAACUCUGUUGUUAGGGAAGAACAAGUGCUAGUUGAAUAAGCUGGCACCUUGACGGUACCUAACCAGAAAGCCACGGCUAACUACGUGCCAGCAGCCGCCGUAA